UACGUAGGGUGCAAGCGUUAAUCGGAAUUACUGGGCGUAAAGGGCGCGUAGGCGGCAUGACAAGUCACUUGUGAAAUCUUCGGGCUUAACCCGGAACGGCCAAGUGAUACUGUCGCGCUAGAGUGCGGAAGGGGCAAUCGGAAUUCUCGGUGUAGCGGUGAAAUGCGUAGAUAUCGAGAGGAACACCUGAGGGGAAG
rnacentral:rRNA from 1 species